CAGUAGCCGCGGUAAUACGUAGGUGGCAAGCGUUGUCCGGAAUUAUUGGGCGUAAAGGGCUCGCAGGCGGUUUCUUAAGUCUGAUGUGAAAGCCCCCGGCUCAACCGGGGAGGGUCAUUGGAAACUGGGAAACUUGAGUGCAGAAGAGGAGAGUGGAAUUCCACGUGUAGCGGUGAAAUGCGUAGAGAUGUGGAGGAACACCAGUGGCGAAGGCGACUCUCUGGUCUGUAACUGACGCUGAGGAGCGAAAGCGUGGGGAGCGAACAGGAUUAGAUACCCCUGAGUCCCUGUCUCUUAUACA
rnacentral:rRNA from 1 species